rnacentral:lncRNA from 1 species
GGUGGAGCUUCUUGGAAGUUUGCUGCGGGGUAGCUAAAUAGUCUCGAUUUGACGGACGAAGCCUGACAAAGGAGGAAGAAUGUUACCUGGUGUCGAGCUUGCGCGUCGAAGGCGGACGAGCAACUAUUCGUGCGUGAGCUCGGACAGAUCCAGUCGCUCGACUUCCAACAUAGUGGCGACGAGGGAGAAGCAGCAGCAGCGGCAGCAGCAGAAGAUUGGAGUCCCCCGCUCGUCCUCCGAGGUACAAAAUCUUGUUUUGAAAUCGUUCUCCUGACACUCUUCCAAAUCAUAGAUUGAAGAAGCAGCUGCUAACGCUCUAGCAACACUGCAAGCGCGCUAUCGUUUCCACCCAAGAGACGAGGCAUCCAGGACCGCAGCAAACGAAGCUCGGGAGAGGUUGGAAGCCAGGCUCCGAGCACCGGAGUUGAGGUAAGUUGUUUUUCUCUCGUUUCCUCUCACGAGCUCGAGCGAAUGCGCAGAAUAACUCGGCAUGGAUCCAACACGGUUCCUACUCCAACACCAACAAAAAAGAAAUUUGGCAGUGGCAAGCACCAAAUUCUCUCGCACAAGGAUGAGAGGCCGGAUUGCCCGAUUUGCCUGGAAGAAAUUGGGCGGACGAGCCUGCUACUGCCGUGUAGACACGGAUUCCACAAGGAAUGCAUAGAGCCGUGGAUCGAGCGAAGUAAUCACUGUCCUUGUUGCCGCGCGAGUGUUGUGUGAGAUAUUCGAGGAAGGAGAGAAAAAAUUUUUGGUAAAACGUCGUAGUUUAGGUUAUCCCACAUGCCUUGUUGGAGGAUGAAUAUAAAUUAAGUCCCAGGGCUAAUGUCUAAUGUAAGUGGCUGAUGGCGAGCAAUAUGCUGUAAAUCGGGUGGAAGAGUUUUCAACACCAAACCGUGUGAGGAAUAUUCUCAAGCAGAACCAGAUUAUUCUACUUUAAGAUAAAACAGUCGUUAAUGGUUUCAUGGUGUAGUUGGUCAUCACGUCAGUCUAACACACUGAAGGUCUCCAGUUCGAACCUGGAUGAAGCCAGCUGAACUUUUUCUUGAGUACGCGUGUUGCACACGUCAGCCGAUUAAUUUCAGCGGGUUUUGAUUUUAGGCAUCUCGUGGAGGAGUGAUUGGUUUCGAAGCGAUAAUGCGGAUUGAGCAUGGGCUUCUUUCAGUCGUAGAGCUCAGACAUAGAUGCACAUAUUCAAUUUAGGUUAAGUGUUUUCUUUGAGAGUUCAAAAAUUUUAUAACCCAAAAUUUUAAACUAAAGUAAAAAGUAGAUAAUCGAGUAUUUAAUUUAUAAACAUGGUGGAGUGGUACCUCCCACCAGGGUGCCUCUUUGCAUACAUUGUGAGGGAUAGAAGCGAGAGCAAGAUUUGAAUAGUAGAGUUAGAUCAAGCAAAGGCUAUUCAAAGUUGUAAUUGUUGUUGUAAUCAAAGUUCAAAGUUGUAAUCAUAUAGCAAUUUGUAAAUCUUACCAUCCCCAGAAACAAAUCAGCACGAUUAAGAGUUAUUUCAACUUUUUAAUUCAAUUUAUGAAUUUUAUUUUUGUGUUAUGUUGACAUUAUUUCUUGACAAUUAACAGUAUGAGAUUGCCCUAAUUUCAAACUUUUGAAUUUCGCGCUUUGUCUGAUCAAAGUUUCACGGAUGCCAAUGGCCAACAACGAGGGUCAUAUCAUCGCAAACUGGCCGUCCAAUGCCAUUGAUCAGAGAACGCAGCAGCCGGUGGUACGAUCGAUCUUUUACAAAUUGCUUGUUCAUAAAGAUCAAAACUCUUUCUGGAUUGUAGGGAAUGCCGAUGAUCGUUUUACGAGACGAAGAGAGCGAAGGCAAUGGCGUGGAUCCUUCGACCACAUCGGACGGAGACAAGUUUCACAGUUUUGGAGAUCCCAGAGGCGAUUGUUGCCGUGCAGCAACUGGACGGAGAAAAGGCAAGAUUUGUCACAGUCUUUCUCUCGAGACAUUAUUUCGAUCGCCCUCUUUCUCCCAUGUAAGGUUUUGGUUUCCCUCACAGCCUGUGUGUGUGGCUGCCAAUCCAAUCUUUUAACGGCCAGGUAUUACCCUUUGGGUGGAGCUUCUUGGAAGUUUGCCGCGGGUAGCUAAAUAGUUUCGAUUUGACGAACGGAGCCUGACAAAGGAGGAAGAAUGUUACCUGGUGUCGAGCUUGCGCGUCGAAGGCGGACGAGCAACUAUUCGUGCGUGAGCUCGGACAGAUCCAGUCGCUCGACUUCCAACUUAGUGGCGACGAGGGACAAGCAGCUGCAGAAGAUUGGCGUUCCCCGCUCGUCCUCCGAGGUACAAAAUGUUGUUUAGAAACCGUUCUCUUGACACUCUUCCCAAUCAUGGAAGCCAGGCUCCGAGCAUCGGAGUUGAGGUAAGUAGCCAUAGCUUGUUUUUCUCUCGUUUCCUCUCACAAGCUCGAUCGAAUGCGCAGAAUAAAUCGGCAUGGAUCCAACAUGGUUCCGACUCCAACACCACCCAAAAAGAAAUUUGGCUCCAAAUUCUCUCGCACAAGGAUGAGAGGCCGGAUUGCCCGAUUUGCCUGGAAG